rnacentral:lncRNA from 1 species
UUCAGUCAUGGAGAGAGGAGGGUCUCACUAGGUCUCACCCCUCUCCAAGAAGUAAGCUAUGAUUGGUUCCUAGAAAAGAAGGGAUCACUGUGUUUAGGGGUGUAGCCACUGUUAAUGUUCCUGACUCAUGUUCCUGUAGUCAACUCGGAAUACAGUAUGAAACUCACACAAAGAGAGAUGUAACAGGAGGAGGAAGAUGUGGUAAUACAAAGAAGGGACAAGGCAGGAAGGGCAAGGAGAUAAAAGAGGAUAAUAAAAUGAUCGGGACCAAAGUCAAUCAUAUGUGCAUGUGCUCCGAAGUGCGAAGGAAUAAAUACUUAUUUAACAGGAGACCACAUGAAUCUGGAAUUCUGGCACUCUGCUCCUUUUCAUGUUCGUUGACUAUAAGUGAUACCAGUGGCUGUAAAAAGUUGUGAGCUGUUUCCUUGAACUCUGUCAGGCCCCUGACAAUGCUGGAACGUGCCCAGCCAGAGUUGCCCUACUGUGUUACUGUAGACAGAUGUCACCAACCAUCACGUUCCUGCUACCCACAUGAUAAGAAAGCACAAUGGAGCAAGGAGAUGAGGUGUGCUGGCCCAUGCCAGGCAUCUGUGCUUCUCAGCCUUUUGGUAUUCGUCAGGUGAG